GUGUGUGAAGAAGGCCUUCGGGUUGUAAAGCACUUUCAGUCGUGAGGAAGGUGGUGACGUUAAUAGCGGAUUCUUUGACGUUAGCGACAGAAGAAGCACCGGCUAACUCCGUGCCAGCAGCCGCGGUAAUACGGAGGGUGCGAGCGUUAAUCGGAAUUACUGGGCGUAAAGCGCAUGCAGGUGGUUUGUUAAGUCAGAUGUGAAAGCCCGGGGCUCAACCUCGGAAUAGCAUUUGAAACUGGCAGACUAGAGUACUGUAGAGGGGGGUAGAAUUUCAGGUGUAGCGGUGAAAUGCGUAGAGAUCUGAAGGAAUACCGGUGGCGAAGGCGGCCCCCUGGACAGAUACUGACACUCAGAUGCGAAAGCGUGGGGAGCAAACAGGAUUAGAUACCCUGGUAGUCCACGCCGUAAACGAUGUCUACUUGGAGGUUGUGGCCUUGAGCCGUGGCUUUCGGAGCUAACGCGUUAAGUAGACCGCCUGGGGAGUACGGUCGCAAGAUUAAAACUCAAAUGAAUUGACGGGGGCCCGCACAAGCGGUGGAGCAUGUGGUUUAAUUCGAUGCAACGCGAAGAACCUUACCUACUCUUGACAUCCAGAGAACUUUCCAGAGAUGGAUUGGUGCCUUCGGGAACUCUGAGACAGGUGCUGCAUGGCUGUCGUCAGCUCGUGUUGUGAAAUGUUGGGUUAAGUCCCGCAACGAGCGCAACCCUUAUCCUUGUUUGCCAGCGAGUAAUGUCGGGAACUCCAGGGAGACUGCCGGUGAUAAACCGGAGGAAGGUGGGGACGACGUCAAGUCAUCAUGGCCCUUACGAGUAGGGCUACACACGUGCUACAAUGGCGCAUACAGAGGGCGGCCAACUUGCGAAAGUGAGCGAAUCCCAAAAAGUGCGUCGUAGUCCGGAUUGGAGUCUGCAACUCGACUCCAUGAAGUCGGAAUCGCUAGUAAUCGUGGAUCAGAAUGCCACGGUGAAUACGUUCCCGGGCCUUGUACACACCGCCCGUCACACCAUGGGAGUGGGCUGCAAAAGAAGUAGGUAGUUUAACCUUCGGGGGGACGCUUACCACUU
rnacentral:rRNA from 1 species